GCAGGGGUAGCGAAGUCCGGUCAAACGCGCAGGACUUAAGAUCCUGUGGCCUUGUGCCUCCGAGGGUUCGAAUCCCUCCCCCUGCA
rnacentral:tRNA from 1 species